rnacentral:lncRNA from 1 species
GGACAGAACAUAUUCAAUCAAUGAAAUACAGUAAUAUGUCUCAAAAAUAUUUAAUCAUAGAUCAACAAAUCAUAAGAUCAAAAUGAGGACUUCGCGUAAUACAGUAGGCAAAGUAGUAAACAAAAUAGUUCAUAAUAAAGCAAGAUUAACUAAACUAAAAAUACACAAGUAAUGUAUUGCAAUUGUUUCACUAUCAUCCUGAAGUAUGUGAGGCAUGUUAUGCCUUGGGGCUGUCUCACUAUCACUAAUGGCUCCAACAUCAUUCUUCUAUUGGUCGUAGUUCCUUAUUCUUAUUGUAUCGAUUUUGGUCAUGCUACCUAAAAAUACAACAAUCAGAAUGAAUACAAUAUUAAAUCAUUAAAUACACCAAAUAUGACACAAUGAAUACAAAACAAUGAAAUAAAAGUGAAUGAAUACGAUGAAUACAUUUAAUAUGUAUAUUUACAUUAACUUUGAGUACAUUCAAAUAGCAUUGCUAUUUGUUAAAAAAAUGUAUAAAAUUUAUAUGUAUAUUUAAUUUUCUGGACUCUUGCAAUGUAUAUAACUACAAAAUGAUACACAAAGUAUAAAGAAUAAAAACACAUGUCAAAAAGCAACUUGUGAAGCACACGAUACAACAAAAACAAAUAAAAUAAUGAAUACAAUCUAAAUUAGCAUCACUAAUUAAUUAAAAGGAAUACAACUGUAUAAAGUAAACAUGUAUCUUUACUUGAUUGGAUAUAAACAACACGCUUACAUUGUACAUAAACUAGAAAAUGAUAUACAUAUCAUAAUGAAUACAAGAAAAAUACACAACAUGCAACAAAAUUACAAUAAAUAUACCAAAAUGAAUAAAAAAUCAUCAAACAAGAAUUCAUUAAUAAAAUAUGAACUAUCAUCUUCAUGUAAAAUGUAUCCUUGAAUUAUUGAAUACCUACUAAUGAAAAAAGGCUAGAACGCAAUAGUUCAAAAUUUGGUACAUUAUCAAAACUAACAAUAAUUUUUCUCAAAUACAAAAAUAAAAUAAAAUUAGAAACAUAAAAUACAUACAAACAACAUUGCACAGUGUGCAUAGACAUUUGUUAAUAUAUUGUAUACACAUACUGCAUUGAUUUUGGAUACAUGAAAAAAUAAAAUCAAACUAUACUGUUGAAAAAAAUUUGUUCUUUAACAACUUCAACUCAACAUGUAAAAUACUAAACACACAAAAAUAAUUAAAUACCUCUUCAUCAAUUAUUUGGUCUUCUCCAUCCUUUUCAAGUACCCAACGAGUAGACGAAAAUUCUACAUUUUCGAUAUGAUUUUAAGGAAAGCACACCAAUUGGGUCAUGUAAAUGUUCUUAUCGUCUCUCUUCCCUCAUUUUAGCAGUGGAUCCUACAUUAUCCACUAUUUCUUGAGUAAUAAAUAGAUUAAAGGAUGAAAAAUUACUAGAAAUUUGAUGAUUAAAUUGGAUACCUCUAGUAAGUCUCUCAGAUUCAUCCAUUGGAAAGUGUUUUAGAGGCCUAAUCGAGAUUUACCCUACAAACAACAAUUCUGGAUGAUUUAAACAAAAAUAAAAUCAGAAAUAAAUCUAAAAAAAGGAUAAAGAAGAAUACCUUAAUUAAUGAAAUUUUUGUAAAUUCAAUUUCAUAAAAAAUAGGAACACCAAAAAUUAUGAUAGAGAGAUAUGAAGAAUUUGAAAAGUUCGAUGAGAAUCUUAAAAGGUAAAUAUGAAAGAGAGAUUUUUUAACAUAUGAGCCAAAUUGGAUAACGUGUAUGAAUGGGGGAUAAACGGCAAAAAUGUGAAUCAAUGAAAGUUAAAGAAAC